rnacentral:rRNA from 1 species
UGCGUAGGUGGUCGGGUAAGUCUGAUGUGAAAUCUCUGGGCUCAACCCAGAAAUGGCAUUGGAUACUAUUCGGCUGGAGGGUUGGGAGGGGGGGACGUGGAAUUCUCGGUGUAGCAGUGAAAUGCGUAGAUAUCGAGAGGAACACCAGUGGCGAAGGCGAGUCCCUGGACAACUCCUGACACUAAGGCACGAAAGCUAGGGAGGCAAACA